rnacentral:rRNA from 1 species
GGGUUGUGAGGUUAAGCGACUAAGCGUACACGGUGGAUGCCCUGGCAGUCAGAGGCGAUGAAGGACGUGCUAAUCUGCGAAAAGCGUCGGUAAGGUGAUAUGAACCGUUAUAGCCGGCGAUGUCCGAAUGGGGAAACCCAGUGCAAUUCGUUGCACUAUCGUUAACUGAAUACAUAGGUUAACGAGGCGAACCGGGGGAACUGAAACAUCUAAGUACCCCGAGGAAAAGAAAUCAACCGAGAUUCCCCCAGUAGCGGCGAGCGAACGGGGAGCAGCCCAGAGUCUGAAUCAGCUUGUGUGUUAGUGGAACGGUCUGGAAAGUCCGACGGUACAGGGUGAUAGUCCCGUACACCAAAAUGCACAGGCUGUGAACUCGAAGAGUAGGGCGGGACACGUGGUAUCCUGUCUGAAUAUGGGGGGACCAUCCUCCAAGGCUAAAUACUCCUGACUGACCGAUAGUGAACCAGUACCGUGAGGGAAAGGCGAAAAGAACCCCGGCGAGGGGAGUGAAAAAGAACCUGAAACCGUGUACGUACAAGCAGUGGGAGCACCUUCGGGUGUGACUGCGUACCUUUUGUAUAAUGGGUCAGCGACUUAUAUUCUGUAGCAAGGUUAACCGUAUAGGGGAGCCGCAGGGAAACCGAGUCUUAACUGGGCGUUAAGUUGCAGGGUAUAGACCCGAAACCCGGUGAUCUAGCCAUGGGCAGGUUGAAGGUUGGGUAACACUAACUGGAGGACCGAACCGACUAAUGUUGAAAAAUUAGCGGAUGACUUGUGGCUGGGGGUGAAAGGCCAAUCAAACCGGGAGAUAGCUGGUUCUCCCCGAAAGCUAUUUAGGUAGCGCCUCGUGAAUUCAUCUUCGGGGGUAGAGCACUGUUUCGGCUAGGGGGUCAUCCCGACUUACCAACCCGAUGCAAACUACGAAUACCGAAGAAUGUUAUCACGGGAGACACACGGCGGGUGCUAACGUCCGUCGUGAAGAGGGAAACAACCCAGACCGCCAGCUAAGGUCCCAAAGUCAUGGUUAAGUGGGAAACGAUGUGGGAAGGCACAGACAGCCAGGAUGUUGGCUUAGAAGCAGCCAUCAUUUAAAGAAAGCGUAAUAGCUCACUGGUCGAGUCGGCCUGCGCGGAAGAUGUAACGGGGCUAAACCAUGCACCGAAGCUGCGGCAGCGACACUAUGUGUUGUUGGGUAGGGGAGCGUUCUGUAAGCCUGCGAAGGUGACCUGUGAGGGUUGCUGGAGGUAUCAGAAGUGCGAAUGCUGACAUAAGUAACGAUAAAGCGGGUGAAAAGCCCGCUCGCCGGAAGACCAAGGGUUCCUGUCCAACGUUAAUCGGGGCAGGGUGAGUCGACCCCUAAGGCGAGGCCGAAAGGCGUAGUCGAUGGGAAACAGGUUAAUAUUCCUGUACUUGGUGUUACUGCGAAGGGGGGACGGAGAAGGCUAUGUUAGCCGGGCGACGGUUGUCCCGGUUUAAGCAUGUAGGCUGGUUGUCCAGGCAAAUCCGGAUAAUCAAGGCUGAGGUGUGAUGACGAGGCACUACGGUGCUGAAGUAACAAAUGCCCUGCUUCCAGGAAAAGCCUCUAAGCAUCAGGUAACAUCAAAUCGUACCCCAAACCGACACAGGUGGUCAGGUAGAGAAUACCAAGGCGCUUGAGAGAACUCGGGUGAAGGAACUAGGCAAAAUGGUGCCGUAACUUCGGGAGAAGGCACGCUGGUGUGUAGGUGAAGCCCCUGCGGGUGGAGCUGAGACCAGUCGAAGAUACCAGCUGGCUGCAACUGUUUAUUAAAAACACAGCACUGUGCAAACACGAAAGUGGACGUAUACGGUGUGACGCCUGCCCGGUGCCGGAAGGUUAAUUGAUGGGGUUAUCCGUAAGGAGAAGCUCUUGAUCGAAGCCCCGGUAAACGGCGGCCGUAACUAUAACGGUCCUAAGGUAGCGAAAUUCCUUGUCGGGUAAGUUCCGACCUGCACGAAUGGCGUAAUGAUGGCCAGGCUGUCUCCACCCGAGACUCAGUGAAAUUGAACUCGCUGUGAAGAUGCAGUGUACCCGCGGCAAGACGGAAAGACCCCGUGAACCUUUACUAUAGCUUGACACUGAACAUUGAGCCUUGAUGUGUAGGAUAGGUGGGAGGCUUUGAAGCGUGGACGCCAGUCUGCGUGGAGCCAACCUUGAAAUACCACCCUUUAAUGUUUGAUGUUCUAACGUUGGCCCCUUACCGGGGUUGCGGACAGUGUCUGGUGGGUAGUUUGACUGGGGCGGUCUCCUCCCAAAGCGUAACGGAGGAGCACGAAGGUUAGCUAAUCCUGGUCGGACAUCAGGAGGUUAGUGCAAUGGCAUAAGCUAGCUUGACUGCGAGCGUGACGGCGCGAGCAGGUGCGAAAGCAGGUCAUAGUGAUCCGGUGGUUCUGAAUGGAAGGGCCAUCGCUCAACGGAUAAAAGGUACUCCGGGGAUAACAGGCUGAUACCGCCCAAGAGUUCAUAUCGACGGCGGUGUUUGGCACCUCGAUGUCGGCUCAUCACAUCCUGGGGCUGAAGUAGGUCCCAAGGGUAUGGCUGUUCGCCAUUUAAAGUGGUACGCGAGCUGGGUUUAGAACGUCGUGAGACAGUUCGGUCCCUAUCUGCCGUGGGCGCUGGAGAAUUGAGGGGGGCUGCUCCUAGUACGAGAGGACCGGAGUGGACGCAUCACUGGUGUUCGGGUUGUCAUGCCAAUGGCACUGCCCGGUAGCUAAAUGCGGAAGAGAUAAGUGCUGAAAGCAUCUAAGCACGAAACUUGCCCCGAGAUGAGUUCUCCCUGAGACUUUAAGUCUCCUGAAGGAACGUUAAAGACGAUGACGUUGAUAGGCCGGGUGUGUAAGCGCAGCGAUGCGUUGAGCUAACCGGUACUAAUGAACCGUGAGGCUUAACCUUACAACGCCGAAG